rnacentral:piRNA from 1 species
UGAGCGCCCCGUGCAAACUACUAAUGGUCCC